rnacentral:rRNA from 1 species
AUUGAACGCUGGCGGCAGGCCUAACACAUGCAAGUCGAACGGUAACAGGAAGAAGCUUGCUUCUUUGCUGACGAGUGGCGGACGGGUGAGUAAUGUCUGGGAAACUGCCUGAUGGAGGGAGAUAACUACUGGAAACGGUAGCUAAUACCGCAUAACGUCGCAAGACCAAAGAGGGGGACCUUCGGGCCUCUUGCCAUCGGAUGUGCCCAGAUGGGAUUAGCUAGUAGGUGGGGUAACGGCUCACCUAGGCGACGAUCCCUAGCUGGUCUGAGAGGAUGACCAGCCACACUGGAACUGAGACACGGUCCAGACUCCUACGGGGGGCAGCAGUGGGGAAUAUUGCACAAUGGGCGCAAGCCUGAUGCAGCCAUGCCGCGUGUAUGAAGAAGGCCUUCGGGUUGUAAAGUACUUUCAGCGGGGAGGAAGGGAGUAAAGUUAAUACCUUUGCUCAUUGACGUUACCCGCAGAAGAAGCACCGGCUAACUCCGUG